rnacentral:lncRNA from 1 species
AUCUUCCAUGUCCAUCUCAGGAUCAGACAGCUUGGACAGAUCAAGUUGCGGAUACAAAAUUCAAAUUGCAUUCCGACAAAAGCUAUAGCCAGAAUGAUGCCUGAAAGCAAAGGUCGUGUCGAUCGUUGAUUGAGAACUGUCCAUUAGCUGCUCAUGAGAUCAAGAAUAAGAAGCUCUUUCUCCUUCCAUCAGAGAUCGAUCUUCUGGUUCCCACUAUCCUGAUCGAGAUCUUUCGUCAUGGGA